UACCCAGUAUGCAAAUUUUUAUGAAUAUUUAAUUAAAAACUAUUAAAAAUAAGCAAACUAAGAUUAAAUUAAAUAGCUUGUUCAGUAGGCUUAAAAUCAUUAUGUAUCAGCACUAUGAUUGUAAUUUUCCAGCUGUCCGGUAUCUGUUCUGUUUGCAUGCAGUUGGAGAAUAUCCUACCAAUUGCUUGUAUACUGGUACUCCUUUCUUUAUGAAUUUGAUGUUGUCUUCUGCAUUUCAUCUUCUUAACUGCUUUUUUCAACUUCUUGCAGUAGUAUUACUAGGAUAUCUUCUGCAUUUGUUGGUCUUGAUCUUGC
rnacentral:lncRNA from 1 species